AAAUAAAAAUAAUAAUAAUAAUAAUAAGAGGUUUAGAAUGCGUGCAAAUACACAGAAAGUUGUGCAAUUUUGACCGUACCUGUUAUAGGUUCAGAAGAAUGUUCUGAAGAAUUUAUAAAGUGAUUCCAUAUUGCCUGGAUGGAAAUGAAAUGGGAUUUUUGUUUUCAUAAAAAGACACAAGUUUUGUUUUAAGUGUAUUUGGUUUGUAUGGUUGUACAUCUGCGCAUAUUCCCCUAGAGUUUUAAUAUAACCAAUUUGUCUGAACUGAUUUGGGGACAACAACUGUAUAUGUAGCACCGGACACAGCUGUGUAUUGUUGAUGCUUUUUGCCAAUGGAUGUUUCCCAUAAUGUUGAAAAAGAAGUAGUCCUUAUCGUUAGGAAGAACUGAAUGCAUACUGUCUAUUUGUCAUGUUUACAUCUCUAAAGACAUCUCUAGAGCUCUACAGACAUCUGCUUUCUAGUAGAUGAUGAUAAAAGUCACAGCAUGUGAAUCUGCUCUAAAACAAAUGACGGUAGAAGAUCAGGCUGGGUUUCCCAAAAACACAAAACAUUGUGACUAGUAUGACACCUGAAAAACAUUUUCUAUUUAACGUAACUUAAAACUACAUAAGCUCUUAUAUCUGGUAAUAUAACUGCAGCUCUAAGUGUUUGUGCACUUUACGAUGUGGUGUAAGUUUUUCUCUUACGGUAACGUUCGGGAUAUUCUUUUGACUCAUGUACAAAGGAUUUGAGAUCAAGAUGUGAAAUUACUUCUGAAAUACUGUGGGCAUCAACUAUGAACAAUCUUAUCUUGAUUAUCUUAACGGAUAUGUUGCAGUGUUUUGGGGAAACUGCAUUAAUCAUGCUCUGCUGAUUUUGUUAGCACGUUUACAACUUGGUGGUGUUACAUUUUUCUGAAAAUCCUUGCAAUAACGACUGCAGCAAAAGAUACAGUGUGUAAUGUAUGAGUCCAAAUGACUGCAUCUCUUCGAGCUGAGAGUGUUUGGAGAGGUGCCAGAUCUGCAAGCAUACAUUUAAGCAUGGUCAAGGAAGGAAGGCAUGUUUUUGCUCUGGUCAAAGGAAUGAAUGAAUAAUACUAUAUGUGGAUAGUAAACUGAACUAAAUCUAUUUGGAAAGAACAAAAAUGCUAAUUCUACCCUGUAAGAGGGCAUCUCCUUUUUUUAAACACUGAUUUACUGUACCUGAUACAGCCUCAAUGUCUCUACAGCAUUUGAGCUAGAAAAGUAAACAAGCAUAAAAACAAAUUACAUUUCAUUUUUAAAUAAGGUGCCAUCUGUGUAGAUAAUAAAAAUACUUAAUUAAGCAUUAAGUAGAAAAAAUACAUGAAUAGUACAGUAGGUCAGGUAAUAUGUCACUAAUGGAGCUACUAGCUGAGGGGUGUGUUGGACCAGUAGCUUUACAGUUAACAUUGACAUUGAGGGACUUACUUUCUGAUUGACUAUGGUGCUGAUUUUUGUCUUCUAUCAUUAACAUCAUCCUAAUAGAUACACACACACACACACACAUAGUCGUGUGGAUUACUGACGGCCAAUGUCGUCUCACUCGAGGCGUAGCGUCACUAAUCUUUUGAGUUCAGAGUCUAAAGUAAUGCAUUGUAACAGAAGCUAUUUAUUUGCAGUUGUGUGUUUUUAAUUUAUUUUUCACGAAUGGAAAAUAAUUCAUGUGCAGACAGAUGUUUUUUUUUGUCAGGUGCUUAUUAUGAUGAUUGUGAACUGGUUCCAUUUAGAUUUUAACAGUGUCAAAGUUCUGUGUAUAGUGCAACAUAUCAAAAAAUAAAUAUUAGAUAUCUGA